rnacentral:lncRNA from 1 species
CAGAUGCUAUAGCUAAAUGGAUGGAGCAGCCUCCUUCAUCCUGAUUGCUGAACUGCAGCAUUAUGUGUUGAACCCAAAGAUCCAAGGAGGCUUACAAAAAUGACUUCCAAUGGGACAAUGAAGCAUGCAACAAGGCCUUGGUGAUGUGGCCGAUGCAGAGUUCUUCAUUUCAACAUCUCACGUUGCCUUCUUAGAAUGUGUCCUUUUCAGCUUUCUUCUACCCUGAUGUCCCAGUCUCUCCUAUGCUUCUGCCAUAUGACCUCUGCCAUCUUUCAGCAACUUGUUUUUGUGAGCAGAAAGGAUGUCUGUGUUCUGCUCUUCCCAUCUACCUUUUGCAGGGAUGUUGGCACAGGCCUGGGUAGGGUUGGGAAUGGCCAUACAAUCAAAUUGGUCUUACAUAAAAGUACAAGUCAGAUACUCUAUCAUAUCUCAAGGAGGAGGUGGCAGCCAUCCCUGCCCUAGGCUGGCAGUGACAAAGUAUGUUUGGUGAGCAACUUGAGAACUCUCAUAUCCCCUGAAUCUAGAUGUUGAGCAUCUUGGGACAUGGAGAUUAUAACACCUUAGAGGUCACCCUUCCAUCAUGGGUUGAGGUGGUGAUUUGUUGAAAAAAAAGAUUGCUUUCACUCCUUCCAUUGGGACAGUAUGCCACAGUCCAGC